rnacentral:sRNA from 1 species
UGCGUUCAAAAAAUCAGAGGGAUAUUCUGUUUUUAUUGUUUAUAAAAUAAUUCAGCUACAGUGGUGGUCUUCAGGGCAUUCUUCAUGACCCUCCAGAUCACACUAGCGGUCAUCAAAUUUUUGCCGGCCUAAAAUCUCAAAAUUCUUGAAUUAAAUCUCCGUUAAUUCCAUAAAAUCCCGUUGCCUGUCUUUGCGCCACAGUGAUGGGCAUACAAACUGGCAUGCUGGCACAUUUGAUUACCACACAGUCCCAGACAUAAAAGUAAGCACAGUCGCACCCGUGAAAUUGGAAUUGUGAAAAUUAAUCUUUAAACAUUGCACUCCCUACAUACAAUCUCCCCUAUUUAUUCAAGGGGUGUAUUUAAACUAACCAAAUAGUUUUCACUAGUUAUUGUUCCUUAUCUUAUGCAAACGGCAACUAUAAUUUCCAGAAACGAUUACACCUACUAUAUGUACAUAUACGUAUACAUAUAUAUAUAUAUAUGCAUGUAGUAUUAGAAUUUCAUCAGAGAAUCAGAGGCACUGGCUGCUGUUAUCUAUUUUAUGGACACGCCUGUGUGCUAGCCAUGGGGUUUAAUCUGAGGAAUGGCCUAGUGCCAAGUCUCCAACUGGAAACUGGAGCAUGCCGAGAGCCUAACCGGUUCGAUCAGAGAUCGGGAUGGCUGGCCAAAUUGUUUCUGGUGGAGACUUGUCGUUUGCAUCGUCAUGUGGCUGGCAUCGGAGCGAAAGCCACUCCAAAGCCCAGAAGCUCCUCCAUGGCCCGCUUUCCGUUCGUGGAAUACAUCGGUCGGUUGCUGUUGUAAUUGUAGCCGCCCUCGAUAAGAUAAAAUUUCAACCCUGUCAUCCACCGGCUGACUGCAGCAGCAGCAGUGCUCUGCUUGCUUGUAUUUUGCUGCUGUCGAUAAUUAAAAUGUUUUCAGCGCACAAUAAAAUUGAAAUUGCGAAUCUCUUUGGCCAUCUGCUCUGUAGUUCCGUAAUGAAUGCGAAUACGAAUCCGAGUAGUUCCCCGUUUCCCUAGAAAAUGUGUCAUUCAGAUCAUUUUGUUUCGUUGUCUCAGUAAAUCAAAUGAGAUACAAGUGCAGCCCUUUUACUUCUUUACUCCGUUUCAAACGAAAGUGAGCAAAAAGAUUGAAAACUGAAAGGGAGUGGAGAGGAGAGGAGAGGAGACGAGGCUCCACAACUGCUACGCUACGCGAGCAAAAGGCAUGCGAAUGGAAACCAGUUAUAUUGCAAUCCGGAUUUCAAGGGGGCAACAAGAAUUUGAAAUCGAUGUGUGGAUCAAACACCAAGUUUGCCAAAGCCAUUGCAUAAUCGAGCAGAAAUCUGCAAGUCCAAGACAGAGAGAGAGAGAGAGAGAGAGACAGACUCCAAAAACGCUGUUAAUCAGAGUGAAGGUGAAUGGAAGUGGAACAAAUGGAAGUGGAGUUUGGAAGUGAUGUUGGAAAUGGCUUCAUUUCGUGGUCACGCAUCUGAACAGCAACAAGAGCUACAGGGGCAGGAGGUGGGCGGCGGAAGAGAAGGCUCCUCUCUUUCUCACCAGACGAUGGAGAGAUUAUUUUUACCUCGAGAGCAACUGUUGCGCACAGUGGGGGUCAAAAUAAUAGUAAUAAUAAUAUUUAUAGCCUACAGUGGAUCGAUCUGCUGGAAUAUCAAAGACUUUGUGGUCAUCCUUUCGGGUUUUACUUUUACUUUAAUUGCAUAAAUACAAAUGUAUUGGGGUUGUUUUUGGGAUUAAACUCUUAAGUGCUGCCAAUUAUUUUGCCCGCUGCUGUACGAUGCUUGAGACUCUUUCACUUUUUCGUAUUGUUUUUGUUGUUUUUAUUUGCCUUUGUGUCGGGCAAAAGUUGGGCUUUUGAUUUCAAGGCUUAUGCGCUGGCGUGUGUUGUCGCUGACGCGGGGACUGACGCUGGGCGUGGCGGCGCGGGGCUCUUUUAACUUUCAAUAACUCGAUUGCCAAAUCACGAGUAAAAGGAACAAAGAACACACUCUCCACUCCACUCUACACACACGCCAUACGCUUUGUUGUUGGCUUGUAAUGAACAACAACAAUUUUAAUCGUUUUUUGAUCCUAUUUAAUUGCGUUAUAAUGUACUGUCCCGCUCACUCCCCACUCAUUCUCCUCUCAAUGCAAUCAGUCAUCCGCUCUCGCUUGAUAGCUCUCUCUCCGACUGCUGUUCCUUUCUCUCACUCACUCAUGAGAUAAUCGCUAGGCUGCUUUGCUGCUCCCGCUGCCCUCUCUUUUUGUCAUACGCACUCUGGCAAGCAUUCACUAACCCAAAUAGCUGUACACACACACACACACACACUUGUGCACACAUACUUGUCAAUACUUUAAUCUGGAUUCGUUCUAGGCGGUAUAGUGUUAGGUUGCCAGGCCAGAGAGCGCCUCUCAUUUCAGACUUUGGGCAGGAGAGAGAGCAGAGGGGUAAUUAAUUCCCCACCCUGCAACCAUGACACCUUGGGUUUGUUUGUACAUACGUAUGUAUUUUCGCUUAAACAAAACGCAUUUGCAAUCGAAAACAAACAAAACAAUUCCAUGUAAUUUACAAUAAACAAUUAAUGGCAGAGCUCUGAUUUCAGUGUUCGAUUGCCGCUGUCUGUCCCGCGGCAAAAAGGUUAUGUGGGAACCAGCGGCUGCUGCCACAAAACAAACAAAAAUUCUGCCAGCUGUUUGUAUUGGGUGGUUGGGGGGAGGAGGGGAGGAAGACGCAACAGGUGGUCCGGCUGUUGGUGGCGUGCCAGGUGCUCCACAUCUAGGGUGCUACUCGGUUUUAUUGUUGUAUAAUCGAGGCUCAAUGGAUCAAUUGCACUUGUGGACACGCACUGGAACGCAGCACCUCCCCUCCACCCACACACACAUCCCUCAUGACGUAUGCAUGUGUGUUUGUGUAUUUAUUGGAUUAAACGUUGUGAUUAA